GAGCUCUGAUUUGCUUAUUGCACCACAUGUGUUUUUCUUUGAAACAAACUUGCUUUGGCGGUGGGCCCAGCCUGCCGCCAGAGGUCUAAACUUACAACCAAUUUUUUAUCAACUUGUCACACCAGAUUAUUACUUAAUAGUCAAAACUUUCAACAACGGAUCUCUUGGUUCUCGCAUCGAUGAAGAACGCAGCGAAAUGCGAUACGUAAUAUGAAUUGCAGAUAUUCGUGAAUCAUCGAAUCUUUGAACGCACAUUGCGCCCUCUGGUAUUCCGGAGGGCAUGCCUGUUUGAGCGUCGUUUCUCCCUCAAACCGCUGGGUUUGGUGUUGAGCAAUACGACUUGGGUUUGCUUGAAAGACGGUAGUGGUAAGGCGGGAUCGCUUUGACAAUGGCUUAGGUCUAACCAAAAACAUUGCUUGCGGCGGUAACGUCUACCACGUAUAUCUUCAAACUUUGACCUCAAAUCAGGUAGGACUACCCGCUGAACUUAAGCAUAUCAAAAACGGGAGGAAU
rnacentral:rRNA from 1 species